rnacentral:rRNA from 1 species
AUCGAGUGAAAUGCUUUUUCUCUCAAGGACAAGCUGUGAUGGGGAGCGAAAUUUAGUAGCGAAGUUCCUGAUGUCACACUGCCAAGAAAAGCUUCUAGUGAGAAAGUAACUGCCCGUACCGCAAACCGACACAGGUAGUUGAGGAGAGAAUCCUAAGGUGUGCGAGAGAACUCUCGUUAAGGAACUCGGCAAAAUGACCCCGUAACUUCGGGAGAAGGGGUGCUGACCGCAAGGUCAGCCGCAGUGAAUAGGCCCAAGCGACUGUUUAUCAAAAACACAGGUCUCUGCAAAAUCGAAAGAUGACGUAUAGGGGCUGACGCCUGCCCGGUGCUGGAAGGUUAAGAGGAGAGGUUAGCGCAAGCGAAGCUUUGAAUUGAAGCCCCAGUAAACGGCGGCCGUAACAAUAACGGUCCUAAGGUAGCGAAAUUCCUUGUCGGGUAAGUUCCGACCCGCACGAAAGGCGUAACGAUUUGGGCACUGUCUCAACGAGAGACUCGGUGAAAUUAUAGUACCAGUGAAGAUGCUGGUUACCCGCGACAGGACGGAAAGACCCCAUGGAGCUUUACUGCAGUUUGAUAUUGCGUGUUUGUAUCACAUGUACAGGAUAGGUAGGAGCCGAAGAUACCGGGACGCCAGUCUCGGAGGAGGCAACGGUGGGAUACUACCCUUGUGAUAUGACCACUCUAACCCGCUGCUCUUAGCGAGCAGGGAGACAGUGUCAGACGGGCAGUUUGACUGGGGCGGUCGCCUCCAAAAAUGUAACGGAGGCGCCCAAAGGUUCCCUCAGAAUGGUUGGAAAUCAUUCGUAGAGUGUAAAGGCAGAAGGGAGCUUGACUGCGAGACCUACAAGUCGAGCAGGGACGAAAGUCGGGCUUAGUGAUCCGGUGGUUCCGCAUGGAAGGGCCAUCGCUCAACGGAUAAAAGCUACCCUGGGGAUAACAGGCUUAUCUCCCCCAAGAGUUCACAUCGACGGGGAGGUUUGGCACCUCGAUGUCGGCUCAUCGCAUCCUGGGGCUGUAGUCGGUCCCAAGGGUUGGGCUGUUCGCCCAUUAAAGCGGUACGCGAGCUGGGUUCAGAACGUCGUGAGACAGUUCGGUCCCUAUCCGUCGCGGGCGUUGGAAAUUUGAGAGGAGCUGUCCUUAGUACGAGAGGACCGGGAUGGACACACCGCUGGUGUACCAGUUGUUCUGCCAAGAGCAUCGCUGGGUAGCUAUGUGUGGACGGGAUAAACGCUGAAAGCAUCUAAGCGUGAAGCCCCCCUCAAGAUGAGAUUUCCCAUCACUUUAAGUGAGUAAGACCCCUGAGAGAUGAUCAGGUAGAUAGGUUGGGAGUGGAAGUACAGCGAUGUAUGGAGCGGACCAAUACUAAUCGGUCGAGGACUUAACCUA